ACGCUCGACACCUACGGGGGGCAGCAGUGGGGAAUAUUGCACAAUGGGGGAAACCCUGAUGCAGCGACGCCGCGUGAGCGAAGAAGUAUUUCGGUAUGUAAAGCUCUAUCAGCAGGGAAGAAACUGACGGUACCUGACUAAGAAGCACCGGCUAAAUACGUGCCCGCAGCCGCGGUAAUCUGAGCGGGCGUGGCAAGGC
rnacentral:rRNA from 1 species